CUCUUCGGUUAAUACCCGGAGACGAUGACAUUAGCUGCAGAAUAAGCACCGGCUAACUCUGUGCCAGCAGCCGCGGUAAUACAGAGGGUGCAAGCGUUAAUCGGAAUUACUGGGCGUAAAGCGAGCGUAGGUGGCUUGAUAAGUCAGAUGUGAAAUCCCCGGGCUUAACCUGGGAACUGCAUCUGAAACUGUUAGGCUAGAGUAGGUGAGAGGGAAGUAGAAUUCCAGGUGUAGCGGUGAAAUGCGUAGAGAUCUGGAGGAAUACCGAUGGCGAAGGCAGCUUCCUGGCAUCAUACUGACACUGAGGCUCGAAAGCGUGGGUAGCAAACAGGAUUAGAUACCCUGGUAGUCCACGCCGUAAACGAUGUC
rnacentral:rRNA from 1 species